UGAGUUUUCGCUGGGCGGAUCCCUGAUCAUACAGAGAGCAGUCUUCCAAAUGAGCUCACAUUGAAACCUUACAGCUGCUCCUGGCACCGUUGCUUUUCGUGGUCCAGCAGGGACAUAUUUGAGGAGUUUUCCGGAAGAUGGCUGAAUGCAGUAUUAGCGACAUGAUGAGUCAACAGACCCAGGCGAGAGUCCUCAGAGAUUCUGCAGAAGUGUCAUUCAGACCACAGCUGCUGUCCUUCCCAGAAUCCUUCAGUGUUGCUUAAGUGCCUUAUUGUCAAGGAUGUUGGCUGCUGCUGUAUUGAGUCCUUUCAGUUCGCAG